rnacentral:rRNA from 1 species
AUUGAACGCUGGCGGCAUGCCUUACACAUGCAAGUCGAACGGUAACGCGGGGCAACCUGGCGACGAGUGGCGAACGGGUGAGUAAUGCAUCGGAACGUGCCCAGUUGUGGGGGAUAACUGCUCGAAAGAGCAGCUAAUACCGCAUACGACCUGAGGGUGAAAGCGGGGGAUCGCAAGACCUCGCGCAAUUGGAGCGGCCGAUGUCGGAUUAGCUAGUUGGUGGGGUAAAGGCCCACCAAGGCGACGAUCCGUAGCUGGUCUGAGAGGACGACCAGCCACACUGGGACUGAGACACUGCCCAGACUCCUACGGGAGGCAGAAGUGGGGAAUUUUGGACAAUGGACGCAAGUCUGAUCCAGCCAUGCCGCGUGCGGGAAGAAGGCCUUCGGGUUGUAAACCGCUUUUGUCAGGGAAGAAAUCUUCUGGGUUAAUACCUCGGGAGGAUGACGGUACCUGAAGAAUAAGCACCGGCUAACUACGUGCCAGCCGCCGCCGUAAAAC